AUUGAACGCUGGCGGCAGGCCUAACACAUGCAAGUCGAGCGGAUGCACGGUACUUGCUCCUUGAUUCAGCUGCGGACGGGUGGGUAAUUCCUAGGAAUCUCCCUGUUUAUGUUGGAUACGGGCCGGAAGCAGGCACUAUUACCGCAUACGCCCUUAGGACGUAAGUGUGAGAUCUUCGGACCUCACGCUCUCGCGUGAGCCUAUGUCGGAUUAGCUAGUUGGUUGGGUAAAGGGCCACCAAGGCGACGAUCCGUAACUGGUCUGAGAGGAUGAUCAGCCACACUGGAACUGAGACACGGUCCAGACUCCUACGGGAGGCAGCAGUGGGGAAUAUUGGACAAUGGGCGAAAGCCUGAUCCAGCCAUGCCGCGUGUGUGAAGAAGGUCUUCGGAUUGUAAAGCCCUUUAAGUUGGGAGGAAGGGCAGUAAGUUAAUACCUUGCUGUUUUGACGUUACCAAAAGAAUAAGCACCGGCUAACUUCGUG
rnacentral:rRNA from 1 species